rnacentral:rRNA from 1 species
GGUCACUGCUAUUGGGAUUCGACUAAGCCAUGCGAGUCGAGAGGGUUCGGCCCUCGGCUGACGGCUCAGUAACACGUGGAUAAUCUGCCCUUAGGUGGAGGGUAAUCUCGGGAAACUGAGAAUAAUACUCCAUAGAUCUAGGAUGCUGGAAUGCACUUAGAUUGAAAGCUCCGGCGCCUAAGGAUGUGUCUGCGGACUAUCAGGUUGUGGUCAGGGUAAUGACCUGACUAGCCUACGACGGAUACGGGUUGUGAGAGCAAUAACCCGGAGACGAUAUCUGAGACACGAUAUCGGGCCCUACGGGGCGCAGCAGGCGCGAAAACUUCACACUGUGCGAAAGCACGAUGAGGGAAUCCCAAGUGCCAACUCGUAAGAGUUGGCUGUUUCUCUGUCUAAAAAACAGAGAGAGUAAGGGCUGGGUAAGACGGGUGCCAGCCGCCGCGGUAAUACCUGCAGCUCAAGUGGUGGCCACUAUCAUUGGGCCUAAAACGUCCGUAGCCGGUUUAAUAAAUGCCGGGGUAAAUCGUGUAGCUUAACUAUACGAAUUCCGGGUAGACUGUUAGACUUGAGACCGGGAGAAGCUAGAGGUACUCCUGGGGUAGAGGUGAAAUUCUGUAAUCCUAGGGGGACCACCAGUGGCGAAGGCGUCUAGCUAGAACAGGUCUGACGGUGAGGGACGAAGCCCUGGGGCGCAAACCGGAUUAGAUACCCGGGUAGUCCAGGGUGUAAACGCUGCUUGCUUGAUGUUAGUUGGGCUCCGAGCCCAAUUAGUGUCGGAGAGAAGUUGUUAAGCAAGCUGCCUGGGAAGUACGGCCGCAAGACUGAAACUUAAAGGAAUUGGCGGGGGAGCACAGCAACGGGUGGAGCGUGCGGUUUAAUUGGAAUCAACGCCGGAAAUCUC